ensembl:lncRNA TEX41 testis expressed 41
GGCCUCCAUCUUGAAAACGGAAAAUAAAAACAGCAGACCUAUGAAGGUCGAAGGGGAAGAAAAGCUGUAUCGAUUGUUGAGAUCUGGCGACUUGUUUAAAUUUCAUCAGCCUCACUUCUAUGAACUCUCAGAGCUGAUUACCAACUCCUACCACUGUUAACCCUCAUCCAGGAACAAGCUUAUGUCUUUAACAUUCUGAGUGGGCUUCAGCAUCCUUGCAUAUGUUCAAUUCUUAAAAACCUGUUGAAAUAAAAGAUCAGGAGACAUAGGAAGGAUGCCAGAAGAGAGCGUGGCCUCACGUGUACCAGCUCUCUGCUCUCCUUUGCCUUGGGACGUUCCAUCCCUGGAAGUUUCCCUGCCCACAUCUUUGUAGAGAGUCCAUUCUCCAAGCUUCAGUGUGUCAUCUGUGAGGACCGUGACCCACCUGGUACAUCGCCUCAGGGCAUUCAUUUCAGGCUCCUUCUAAAUGGCCAAGUUUUCAAGAUUGUUUUGGCUCUAGCAAAACAAGUUGGAACAUUCACAUCAUCCAAGACAACACCAACAUUUUUGUAAUGGCCUGCAAGGCCUUCCGAGAUCUACCUCCUGCAACUCAGCUUCUCCUGUGCUCUCCUUCUGGACUCACUCUGCCUCAGCAACACUGGUCCCUGUUGCCCCACCAAUAUGCCAGGCUUCUGUGCAGCUGCAGAAUAAAAGGCCGGGCAUGUGCCCCACUGGAAGUGUCUGGAAUCCAUGGCUUCAAUAGACCUUUGACGAGUGGGAAGUUGGAACCAUGAUGAAAUACUGCCCUCUAGACUGAUCUCAGGAGGACAAUUCUGGGGUGAAUUCUAUACGGUUUCUCAGAGGGUCCCCGGUAGCACUGAGCCCCCAUUUCCACAGUCAUAUUCAGUUCAAUAAUAUUUUUCCUCCUUUCCUGUUUUGCUUUCUCCAGCGCCCAUUGCUAGUUGCUUCCUGGAGGAAUUUCCCAAAAUAAAAGUGCCUAUCCACAAA